AUGGCCUACGGGAGGCAGCAGUGAGGAAUAUUGGUCAAUGGGCGGGAGCCUGAACCAGCCAAGUCGCGUGAGGGAAGAAGGUACUGAGUAUUGUAAACCUCUUUUGCCAGGGGACAAAGGCGGCCACGGGUGGCCGUAAGAGGGUACCUGGAGAAAAAGCAUCGGCUAACUCCGUGCCAGCAGCCGCGGUAAUACGGAGGAUGCGAGCGUUAUCCGGAUUUAUUGGGUUUAAAGGGAGCGUAGACGGCAGAGCAAGUCUGAGGUGAAAGCCCGCGGCCCAACUGCGGGACUGCUUUGGAAACUGC
rnacentral:rRNA from 1 species